UUGGAGGGCAAGUCUGGUGCCAGCAGCCGCGGUAAUUCCAGCUCCAAUAGCGUAUAUUAAAGUUGUUGCAGUUAAAAAGCUCGUAGUUGAAUUUCGAGACCGGCUUACUGGUCGUGCUAUUGUACGUACUGGUAUAAUCGGUUUCUCCUUUCUGACGAACUUUAAUGCCAUUAAUUUGGUGUUUUAGGGAAUCAGGACUGUUACUUUGAAAAAUUAGAGUGUUUAAAGCAGGCUCACGCUUGAAUACAUUAGCAUGGAAUAACGGAAUAGGACGUUUGAUUCUAUUUUGUUGGUUUCUAGGAUCGACGUAAUGAUUAAUAGGGAUAGUUGGGGGCAUUAGUAUUCAAUUGUCAGAGGUGAAAUUCUUGGAUUUAUUGAAGACUAACUACUGCGAAAGCAUUUGCCAAGGAUGUUUUCAUUAAUCAAGAACGAAAGUUAGGGGAUCGAAGACGAUCAGAUACCGUCGUAGUCUUAACCAUAAACUAUACCGACUAGGGAUCGGAUGAUGUUAAUUUUUUAAUGACUCAUUCGGCGCCUUACGGGAAAC
rnacentral:rRNA from 1 species